UACGUAGGGCGCGAGCGUUGUCCGGAAUUAUUGGGCGUAAAGAGCUCGUAGGCGGCCUGUUGCGUCCGCUGUGAAAUCCCGGGGCUUAACCCCGGGCGUGCAGUGGAUACGGGCAGGCUGGUGGCAGGCAGGGGAGAACGGAAUUCCCGGUGUAGCGGUGAAAUGCGCAGAUAUCGGGAGGAACACCGGUGGCGAAGGCGGUUCUCUGGGCCUGUACUGACGCUGAGGAGCGAAAGCGUGGGGAGCGAACAGG
rnacentral:rRNA from 1 species